GGCGUGUAGCUCAGCUGGGAGAGCACCUCCAUGGCAUGGAGGGGGUCGCAGGUUCAAUCCCUGUCACGUCCA
rnacentral:tRNA from 1 species